UUUUUUUUUUUUUUUUUUUUUGCUUUUAGGGCUGCACCCGUGGCAUAUGGAAGUUCCCAGGCUAGGGGUCCAAUCAGAGCUACAGCUGCAGGCCUAUAUCCCAGCCACGGCAGUGCCAGAUCCUUAACCCACUGAGCGAGGCCAGGGAUUGAACCCACAUCCUCAUGAAUACUAGUCUGAUUCGUUUCCACUGAGCCACAAUGGGAACUCCCACACAACCAUUUGCUUUUUGCUUGAGCUUAACAGUAACUUUGUGAAACUGGUAGUUCUGAGAUCAAUAUACGCAUUUUAUAGAUAGAACAAUCAAAACUGAAAUUUCAAAAGUGUCUUGGCCAAAGCCACAAAAAGAAUCAGUAUUAAUUUAAAUUAUAUGAAAUUCAAAUAUUCACUUGGACCUCACUUCCUAUUACAAAGGAAAAAGAUACACAACAUAUCUUGGGAACCUUGACAUUGGCUCUGGAAAAUAUUUGUUUCUACUGCCUAGGUUGGACUUGUUAAGUAAUAACUGUGAUUUCAAAGCUUCUGCUGCCUCUCUGCAUAGCUUAGGGUGGAGGCCCAGGGCAGAUGUUCUUUCAUUUAGGAAAAAGAUUUAAUGUCUUCUGGCCAUUAAAGGGAAGGCCAGGCCUACUCUGGGAGGGGAAAGAUGAAAGAAAAGGGAAUUCACUUGUUUUUCACUCAUUCAACAAAUGUUUAUUGAGUGUCUGCUAUGUGCCAGGAACUGUUCACAAUUGUUAACAAAAAAGAUAAAAAUCUCAGCAUUCAUGGGGUUUACAUUCUGGUCUGGGUGGAGAUGGGAGUGGUGAACAGACAAUAACAAGAUAAUAAAUAGAAUAUACGUGUCAGAUAACAAGGGCAAGAGAGAGAAGGCAAAUGAAAGGGAGUAGAGUAUGAGGAAUUGAGAGUUCCAUUAUUAACUUCCUGGUGAAUCUAGGCCAGAGUCUUACAAAGAUGAAGGAGCAUAAAACUCAGAGCAGAAGGAAGAAAGAAGGUGUUUGUUGGGAGAAGAGGUAAAAGGGUGGCAGGACAGACUGUGCAGGAGAAAACGGACAGAGAAAAAUUCCUUCUGAAGACCUUAUCUUGUUAUCACCUAAGUGGAGUUUAACUUGUUCUGCUAUCUGCUGUAGAGCCGGAGGCCCUCUGGCAUCUCCGGGGAUGGGGACCAGUGGCACUUGCCUUGGCCACAAAGUUUAAGGGGGAGUCCAAAACUUCAGUAAUAGAAAGGAAACCAGGACCUAUAACAGUGCCCUGGUGCUGGCCUACACCACAGCCACAGCAACAUGGGAUCUGAGCUGAGUCUGUGACCUCCACUACAGUUCAUUGCAAUGUCAGAUCCUUAACCCACUGAGCGAGGCCAGAGAUCAAACCUGUGUCCUCAUGGAUGCUAGUCAGAUUCAUUUCCAGUGAGCCAUGACAGGAACUCCCCAUGAAGUGCAAAUUUCAUUCUGCCCCUCUCCCUCUUCUCCCUGGUUUCAAAUAGUUAUUGGCUUCCUAUUCCUCUUGAGAUGGAGACUAAAAUCCUUACCUUGGCCUAGAAGGUCAGGUGUGGUCUGGCCCUGGCCCCUCUCCUGCUUGAUCUAGUUGGCUCUUUGCCUUCCAGCCACCCAAGCCUUUGGCUCCUCAAAUAGGACAUGCUUCUUCUACCACAGGACCUUUGCACAAGCCACCUAUCUUCCUGGAAGGUGCUCUUUCCUCAUCCACCUUCAGCUAGUAACAGCCUGCUUCACUUUUACAACUCGGCUGGAGCCGUCUCCUCAGGGGAGCUACACUGAUCUCUCAGACCUCAGCCCAGGGAAGCCUCCUUUGUACACUGCAUCCCAUGGUUUGGUUUGAGCACUUAAUUCGGCUUAUAAUUAUAUAUUCAUUUGUGAUGAUUUGGGUAGUGCCUGUUUUCUCCACUAGCCUGUAAGCUCCAUGUGGGCAGCGACCCAGGUUUGCCUGGCUCACCUUGGAUCCCUAGCACAUAGCAGCACUCACAAAUAUGGUUGAAUGACCAUCCUCACCACCCUGAGUCAAAGGUCAAGAAGCUGACCUCUGGUCAUGGUUCACUGUAGUAAGUGGAAGUGACUGGAAAUAGGAGCUGGGGGUUAAAUUCCUCUUUCUUCUUAUCUUCCACUUUCAACCCUUUCUCCUUCUCCUCACAAAGCUGCCUUUAGGGACCGAUUAUACAGAGGAUCACAAAUGGAGUUUGCACGGGGCUAGGCCCUGGCUGUGAGUUCAUAGGUCAAGACAGGCAAGAGAUGUGGACAGACCCUAACAGAGCAGAUGGACAGCCAAUAAGAGGGCCGAGCCAGUACCAAGCAGAUGGGAUGAGGUCCUCACAGAAGGUCUUGUUUCCCCCACAGCAUCUUAGACUCAGAGAACCCAGAGGAGCCUUUUCUAUUGUUCAUGUUCCGUCCCGCUCUCUCUUCUGCCCUUCACUAGGAUUCUUUGUGUGUGGGCAUGUUGACCCCCACUGCAGUGCAAUCUCCUCAAGGGAAGGGACUGUGCCUUGGAUGGCUUGGGAUUCCCCACAGCUCCUGGUUCAAGGUCCAGCACAUAAUGCGUAUUUGUGGAUUCCUGUUCUUAACGUGGAAAGUGUGCAAUGCAGGCUGCCUGCCUGGGUGGAGAGCCAGAGAACAGCUCUCAGGCCCAGGUGUGGGGCAGUGCCAAGGAGGCUGAGGGGCCAUGUGGUUCCAGGUGUGCAGGGAAGGUCAGCUCUUGGGCCAGACAAACACUGAGGCCUUCAAAGCCCUGCCCACCACCCGGCUAAGAGGCUGCCCACCCCCUGAGCUGGCUCAUGUCAAGUAUAGAGCUCUCUAGACCUCUUAGAUCUGGAGAAAGAUGCAUCUACAUCACCAUUCACUCACCCACACACCCCAGCAGCCUCCCAGCAGCCUGGCAGCUGCACCCUGGGGUGGGGCUCAGCCCCACCAGGGAGAAAACAAAGCAACUGCCUCCAAGCUGGCACCAAGCCCACUCCUGUGAAGACAGGCCUCUCUGCGCUGGGCCAAUAAAUAAUAGAAAGUGCAAGUGGCCCGAGGUAGUGACUGAGCUGCUGGGCCUCAGGCAGGAUGAGGCGAGCAGCCCCCAGGUCGGGAGCACAGGGAUUAAUAACACAUCAAUUUUAAUGUAGGGAGAGGGCUUUUUUUUUUCUGCUUCACAAACAGCAAAGUGAAUGUUUGAGCAUCCCAGCAGGGGGUUAAUGAGGACUCUGAUUAGUUAUUCGGAUUUCUCCACACUGCCUCAAUCCAUCCUACUAGGGAGGAGAGGAGGAGGAGGCAGACGGGAGGGCUGCAGAGAGCCGCUGGCAUGAGACGGCAGAAUCUCCGGUCUCUGAGAAGGUUUCAACCCAAGGAAAACCACAGCCCACUCCCACCCUCUCCCCUCCAUCCCUCCCCCAAACACACACACACAUCGUGGAAGAACAGAGGGCUGCGUGGGACUUCGGGAUGACCUGUCCAGCCCCUUGACCAGAGGGACAACAAGAGGGGAGUAAUUCCAAAGCCACAGGGAGGAUUAAUAAGAGCGCAUGCUCAGGCCAGAACCCAGCAGCCUGGGCCUUUCCCGCUGCACCAGAAUUCCCUCUCGCACUCCCCCUUCCCCGCCAGAGUGAACAUUCUGCUCUUCCCUUCAGACAGACCACUGAUAGGGAUAAGCCAGUGCCCAUCCGUCUGUUCCAUCUGAGGCCAUAGCCAGGGCUGUCCGUUGGGAAAACCACAGCCCCAAGAGCCUCCUCAUCAGGAAAUCUCUGCCUCCUGGACCAGGAGGGUUGGAAGGGGAGGUUUUCUGUGAUGACCCCCUCUCCCAAAGAGGAGCUCCCAGCAGCACUGCUCCUCUGCCCCAGCUGCUGGUACCCAGUGCAGCUGCCCCUGCCCAACCUCCUGCAACAGCGCCUCUAACCCCCUGCAGACUCCAGGUCAGUGAUGGAUCCUGCUCAUUUGGCUCCAGACACGCAGGGCACAAAAGAGGGGGAAAAGCACAAGGAGACGCAGCAUGAGCUCAGGAAGAGAAAUCGCCAGGUCAUCUGCCCUUGAGCCCCACGCUUUCCCCACCAUCACAAGGCAGAUAGACUUCUGAGCCAGGGUCUCCACACCCCUCCCUACCCUCAGGUGCCAGCUCAUCUGCUGCAGCUCAGGACCCAGAUCCAGACCCAGACUCAGAUCCGCAAGUAAGUGACGUCACAGUGGGGCUUCACCCCUCAGUUUUUCUGAGAUCAUCCCAGUGUCACUGAAGUCCCCAAAAUGCCUCUCUCUGGAGGUUCCCAAAGAGCUGCACCUCACAUCAACCCCAAAUUCUCAAAGUGCACAUUCAGAACCCCUGAACUCUCCCAAACUGUUUUUUCUCCCCAAGGUCUGGGCCUGUGGUCUUGGCACCACAGGUACCCAUGGCUAUGUGCCCGGGCUCUGUCUCCAAGUCAUUUCUGAACAGUAACAGCUGAUGUUAAUUAUGCCCAGCUUUACACAGGUGACCUCGCUGACCCUCACAGACCCUGUGAGGUAGGUUCUUGCGGGCACUGUCCCAGAGAACCCUCUGCAGGGAGAUGGUCUCUGGCCACACCGUCCAACACUGCAGACGCCAUGUGGCUAUUAAGCACUUGGACUAUGGCCCGUGCGACUGAGUAUCUGAAGUUUUCAUUUAAUUCAAUUUUAAUUUAAUUUAACAGACACAUGUGUCUGGUGGAAACCAAACCAGACAGCAUAAACUCAGAGGGUCAAGCAGCUCACUCCAUACCAGGCGGCUGGUCGGGCCUCUCCAAGACUCACCCGGUGUGGCUGCUUUUCUGUGCUGCCUUUGAGGCGUUAUCAUGUAGAGGAAGAAAUUCCAGGCCAGAGAAAGUAAAGAAAUGGUAUGUAAAUGGGGAGGCUCAUAGUGCUGCUUCCUAGCACUAUGCUACAAGGUUGCCAAGGAUGCCUUGAGGGUAUAAAGGUGAGUAAGACCCAGCCUUUGCCCUCAAGAUGCUAUGAUGCAGCUGAAAGACAAAAUGCAUUCUACUUGGGAUAGGAGGACUUUGAUGCAAAACUGAAGGAGGUAGGAUGUUGUCUAGAUAUCCCAGAGCACCCCCACCCCAACUCAACCAUGCCCAGCCAUGAGCCCCUAUUGGGUUCUCCAUUCUGCCCACUCUUCCCUAUGUUGUUUCCCCACAUUUGCUCCUCAUUUUGGAUCAGUGGCACCAUCACUGCAGGCAGUGAAGAAGGAAACGUGUAGAUGCCCUCUCCUUCUCUUUUUCCUUCCUCCCCUUUCUCUCCCCUCCUACUUUCUAUCACACGCUGAUAUUCUUCCUAAAUGUACUUAAAUAUCUUUCCCUUCCCAUCCCCAUCAUCUAUGCUCCUCACUGCCCUCAGGCUGCUGCCUCUCCCUCCCUUUCAUCACCCUGGGCUCCGGCCUCACAGUACUAACAGGCAUUUCUGGGAGCUCGAGAGGCUUUCUCAUGCCCCUGUGCUUUUGCACCUGCUGUUCUCUCAACACCCCCACCUGCCUCAUCUACUUGGACAACUACACAUGCCCAAAGAUUCAUAUCAGGGCUCUAUCCCCCCUGGAGGCUUUGUCCGAGCUUCUUUAUGCCGCUGAUCCCUUGGGUUACAAGGACUGGCAUUUCCCAUGGCAUUCUCUGAGGUCAUCUUUGUGUUCAGAGGGCCUGCAGUGUGUGGCCCGCGGCAGGAGGUAGGUUGGAAGGGUGCAGGUGUGUCUGCACCAGCAGUCGUCUGAGAGCCGAAGCACCUUCUGCUCCUGCCUUCCUGGCCGCCCAUACACCACCUUUCUGCAUUAGGAGUCUUGCAGAAAGUAUGAGAGGCAUUCCUGAUUCACCUCGCAAGCUGCUCUCCAGAGGGAGGGAGGCACAGCAGGGUGACUUCCCACCGAGCCUGGCACUCAGCGUGAACUCCCACAGCUUUGAAGAACCUCAAAAAUAGAUCGAUUUAGCCCCACUUGAAACGGGCUUGGGUCUGCGACCUCCAAAUGGCCUUCCUUAUGUGUCUCCCUUGGCCUCUGGCCUCCCCACCCUGCCCUGCUCAACUCCUAAGUUCCCUCUGUGAGGCUCUACCUAACAGAAGCAUCAUGCGCACCCACACGAAAGCUCAGUGUCAUUCAGGACAACUUUUCACCCAGUGCGCCCAUCCAGGGACCAGGGUGAUCAGAGUGCCUUGUUCUUGCCUAUACACAGCAGGUCAC
rnacentral:lncRNA from 1 species